AAGGCUGAAAUUCGCCUUCAUGAAGCCGGAAUUGCUAGUAAUGGCAGGUCAGCAUACUGCCGUGAAUACGUUCCCGGGCCUUGUACACACCGCCCGUCACACCAUGAGAGUCGGAAAUGCCCGAAGCCGGUGGCCUAACCGAUAAGGGAGGAGCCGUCGAAGGCAGGUCUGAUGACUGGGGUGAAGUCGUAACAAGGUAUC
rnacentral:rRNA from 1 species